rnacentral:lncRNA from 1 species
CGGGCAACAGCUCAACCUCCUCGGCAGUCGGCAGUCGGCACCCAGCCAGUCACCCACCUCCCUCCCUCCAGGUUACUCCAUUCAUUGGCAUCAACGAGUGUGCAGGCAGCUGUUCGAACCUUGCCGCAGACUGUUGUGACUGGAAGCCUGCGUCGUGAGGUGUGUUGGUAUGUUAUGAUGGAGCGGGAAAGGAAGAAAGGAACGAAAAAAGAAGUUGAAUGACAGCUCUAUCACAGACAAAAUGAUGACUGCAGAGUUGCCACGAACGAGUGAGGCAACGCGCGGUACUGGCAACACUGGUGAUACUGGCAACACUGCUUCUCAGAUACCUUACCUGGGGACUAAUGAAGGACAGGUGAGGUUAAUUGUACUCUCGAGACACCGUGGUUACCUGUGCUCACCUGUGUGUCUUAAAUAAUUGACAGGUGCGGGAGUGACACCUGGAAACUGCUCGCUCACCUGACUCAUUAAGUGGUAAACUGGCGGGACCUUGUGAGAAGCAGGUGGCAUUAAUGAACAGUGUUGCCAGGUUCGUGAUUGGGCAAGGAACCACCACCACCACAACGACUGCCCUGUCCUGCCCUGCCUUUCCUCACUAGCUUGCCCAUGACACCCUCCAUCCUUCCCUUGAUAUCCUCUCUCUCUCUCUCUCGACACCUUUCCUCCUU